rnacentral:misc_RNA from 1 species
GGAAGUAAAAGUCGUAACAAGAUUUCCGUAGGUGAACCUGCGGAAGGAUCAUUAAUGAGUUGUCAUGGGGUUCGAUGCUGGCGGCCAAUUUUUGGAUGCAUGUGCUUGCCCUAACAAUCAUCUUCCAAACACCUGUGCACAUUUUUGAGGGAGUCUUGAGUUGGUUGCCGCUCUUGGGUGAUUUUCUCACAUUCCCUUAAAUCAUUAUACGCUAUUAACAAUGUUGAACGUGCUCUGUGCCGCAAGGCUAUUAAUAUAAUACAACUUUUAACAACGGAUCUCUUGGCUCUC